AUAUUAAUAAGCGGAGGAAAAGAAACUAACUAGGAUUCCCUCAGUAACGGCGAGUGAAGCGGGAAAAGCUCAAAUUGAAAAUCUCCCUGCCAUGCGGUAGGGCGAAUUGUAAUCUAGAGAUGCAUCGUCAGUGAGUAUCCUGGGUAUAAAUCCUUUGGAACAGGGUGUCAGAGAGGGUGAGAACCCCGUCUUUGACUCAGAGUAUACCGCGUACGACAUGCAUUCGACGAGUCGUUUGCUUGGGAAUGCAAACCAAAAUGGGUGGUAAAUUUCAUCUAAAGCUAAAUAUCAGCAAGAGACCGAUAGCGCACAAGUA
rnacentral:rRNA from 1 species